GACGAACGCUGGCGGCAUGCCUAAUACAUGCAAGUCGAGCGAACAGAUGAGAAGCUUGCUUCUCUGAUGUUAGCGGCGGACGGGUGAGUAACACGUGGGUAACCUACCUAUAAGACUGGGAUAACUCCGGGAAACCGGGGCUAAUACCGGAUAAUAUUUUGAACCGCAUGGUUCAAUAGUGAAAGACGGUUUCGGCUGUCACUUAUAGAUGGACCCGCGUCGUAUUAGCUAGUUGGUAAGGUAACGGCUUACCAAGGCGACGAUACGUAGCCGGCCUGAGAGGGUGAUCGGCCACACUGGAACUGAGACACGGUCCAGACUCCUACGGGAGGCAGCAGUAGGGAAUCUUCCGCAAUGGGCGAAAGCCUGACGGAGCAACGCCGCGUGAGUGAUGAAGGUCUUCGGAUCGUAAAACUCUGUUGUUAGGGAAGAACAAAUUUGUUAGUAACUGAACAAGUCUUGACGGUACCUAACCAGAAAGCCACGGCUAACUACGUGCCAGCCGCCGCAGUAA
rnacentral:rRNA from 1 species